UAACAAUUUAAACUUCUAUAACCUUUCAUUUAUGUGUCCCUGAAUCCAUCAUUUUCAGGCUCCAGCUACUAUUUCAAUGAAUAAAACAUAAAUCCCUUAGAACAAAUGAGAAGGAAAUCUUCAUAAAACCUUAAAAAGAGAGAGAAAGGAAUGGGGAAGUGCCCAAACCUAACAGAGGAAUAAGUCGUUUCGGAAUGCAAGCCCAAAUAAAUAUUUGAACAGGAAUGGUAUCCUCAUGUGUGUGGUGAGAAAUAGGUCCGUUUCAGACUGCACAUUUUGGCAGGCUGGCGUGUUGACUUUAUCACCUUGAGACCUCAGGGGCUUCAAAUGCCUUCCCCGAGGCUUUAAUCACGCGCACGCGCAUGCGCACACCCAUAUCCCAGGGCGCCGCAGGCUGCAGGUCCAAGCCUGUGAGCCGCUCCCAGAAGCGUCCCGUGGCCCACCUCUCCCCUGCUCAGACGCCUCUCUUGGACGCCUGCCUGCAACUCCCCCACCCUGUUUUUGAAUCACUCUCCAUCAAAUGCCAUUUUAGUUACAUCCAACGUAACAUCCCUGGAAGUCAGAAUUCUCUGCGCAACAGGUAGAACUGACACUAUUUCUAUCCGUGGAUGAGUUCUGCUUUCCUCAUUUCAGUUUUAUGGUAAAACUCCACACAUUUGGACUGAGAGGAAAGGCAAGAGGCCAAUUAAAGUUUUUGAAAGUUUGAAUUACAGACUCUACUGAAAAGAAGCGUAGACCAUAGCAGCCUGAUUUUAAUGUGAAUCUGCUGGCAGAGAAGAGAUGCAUAUGUAUUUGAACAAUAUUAACUCUUUUAGUGAUCGCAAAACUUCUGCGCACGCGUACGCCCACAUGCUAAGGCCUCACAAUUUCUGCCACCUGGAAGUCUCUCAAAGUGUCUCAAAGUAAAUGCUUCUUUGCAGAAGAACUUUGAAAGCUACAUGUUCCAUUUGAGAGUUGGCUUAAACCAGAAAAUAUAGUCUGGAAAUGCACUGAACUGGGCAUACACACUGAAGCAAAUUGCAGUGUGCCAAAGGAGAGACAGAGAGAGAGGGUACCACUGUACCUCUCUACACUGUGGGCUGGCCCUUCUUCCCUCAGGACAUGCAUACCAAGGUUUACCUUUUCAUCACUUGAAGAACAGUGGUUACAUGAUUUGGACCCACUGAGGAAGGUAGAAUGAGAUCAGUUCAAAAGUAUUGGAUACCUGUGGAGCACUUUGCAAGAUAUUGCAGCAUUUUCUGGGCUUUCUAUAGAACUACACAGAAGUAUUGCUGAGUACUUUGCAACGUGAACCCCUGCAAUUUGCAGGAAUUUGCCACACUUUUCAGGUGAUCAUACUAGCAGCAGAGAGAAGAGCAAGAUAUACAGAACCUGCAAUUGAAGAUGAAACCCAAGGUCUAUCCAGAGUCCAAAGGACGUAUCAAUGAGCCCAUCAUCCUCAUGCAUGUCAACCAGACCACAAGCUCCAAGAGACUAAGAAUUGUAAUUUUUGUUCACUGUGGCAUUACUGGCAUGUUGUACAGGUCUGACACAUAGUACACAUUCAAUAAAUAUUUGCUGUAUGAAGUAGUGAACACAUCAUCAGAAAGCUUUGAAUUAGCCCAAUUUCUGAUAGGAACCAUUUAGUCCUGUAAUUCACCAGUUGGGUCAACAUUGGAAACAUUUUGCUUACAUUUGCAUUAGUAAUACCUGAAGUGAUGAGGAGAGCACUUCUUACAGUGUCUGUAUUCAUCUUACUCAACUUCUAAAAGGUUCCUUCUUGUUCUAUUAUUUUCAAGAUUUUGUGAACAUGUUUACGUUAAUUGUGCUACCUGUGGUUUAUAGAUUUUAUUCAUGUGCCUCUCUGUUUUGGCCUUCCUGGGCUGAAAUGACUAAAACAUUUAGGCCUGCCCAUGCACAGCAUCCCUGUACUCAUUUCAAUUACAUUAGUUUAAUCCUACACAUAUCGGGUGCCUCUGAUCCUGCCAAUGCCAGGCACUGUGCAAACUGCUGGGAAUACUGAGAGCAUUCUUUGGUCCAGUCAUAAUCUUCCUUGGGAUUGGAUAGUGUUCCCCACUUUCCUUCGGGUCCAGCACAUUUUAGGAUAAGUUCAUUGUUUGGGGUUUUGUUCCUAAUCACCUUCUUGGAGAUGCCGGAUCUGUAUUGGCCUCUUGGAUGCUUCUGUAUUGCUUUCCUGAUGUGGCGCUUCUCCCCACAUGCGUGAUCCACUCCAUUGCUCAAUUGCUCAAUGCUACUCUCAUCCCCAAAACCUCUACAAGGUGAGGUACCGUUAUCUCAAGAAUCUCAUUGUAUUUUCAACCUGUGUGGUUGUGCAGAUCCCGGUUUUCUUUUCCUAAGUGUGCAGGGGCUCGGUCCUUGGUCUAUUUCUACGUGAUGCUAUGGGGAGCACUGGAUUUGGAGUCAAAAGACUCAGCUUCCAGACUUAAUUCUGCUGCAUCCUAGCUGCAUGACCUUUGGCAAGGCAUUUAAACUCAUGAGCUUCUUUACCUGAAAAUGAGGUUAAAACCUACCUCACAAGUUUUCUGUGAGAAUUAAAAAAUACUACAGGUGAAAACACCUUAUAAGUGGUAAAGUACUCAUAAAUGUAACUUAUUAUUUGUUAUUGUCUGCAGUGACAUUUAGAGGAUUUAAGUGGAUAUACUGGGCUAUACAGUCUUCUGGAAGUUCAAAGAAUUGGGCCACCAGAGCAUGAAUUUCCCAGUUUUUCAGUGAGAACUUGACUCAGUGAUAUGUAUUUAUUCAAAGAUUAAUGAAACUGUCUAUGCAAAAGCAAUGUCAGUUUCUUGAAGGCAAGAAACUCUUUUUCACGGGUUUCUAGUUAGCAAUGAAGAAAUAUUAAAGAAACAAAGAGACCUUAAUCAAUAGCUUUAUUUGGUCUUCCCAGCCUGUGCUAUAGCUGACCUAGGAAAGAAUAAAGAAUGUUCUUUCUCAACAAUUCCUUCUAUAAGUGUGUAAUUCAGCCAACAUUCCAAGCAACAAACAUGUAUCGGAUGUUUGCUUUGUAGGUACUGUGCUGUUUAUCUAGAUGUAGUUUUCCAGUUGUUAAAUUAAGACUUUUGUAUUUUUUAGUUCAAAAGCAUCUAAUUCUCAGUCUUUAAAGCCAAAAUACAGAGUUGAAAUGCAGCUCUGGCUAUGGAAAAGUGAAUAAGACAUUAUUCCUGUCUUCAAGGAGCUUACAGUUUAUUUGGGGAGAGAGAGAAGUAAACAGCUCACUAUAACACAAGCCAGGGUACAACAGAAAGAUCAAUGACACUUGAGAAGCUGCACUGUGAUACCAUGUAGUAGGAAGCGAUUGUGGUGGGAGCUCUUGGGAGGUGGGAAAGGAAGGUAAAGAGGAUAUUGAAGAGCAGCGUGUGUUGUGAGAGAAUUAGACAAGGAAAUUCUCAUUUUAAUAAACUCUGCUUGGUUAGUGAUUUUUUUUAUCUUAUUUAUGAAAGAGUAGGAUUAUUCUAUUCAGAACAGAGUAAAGAAAAACAUCUGCUCAGAACAAGGUAAGGAAGAACAUUCCUGGCUAAGAGUGAAGCUUUGCCUGGUUGGCACAAAGGAUGUGUUUGGCAGAGGGUUGGGGGCAUGUUGGGGGGCGGGGAGAAGUGCAGUGUGUUAGGCACUUUGAGGACUCUCUCCAUGCAAAAAACAGAGACAGCCUUUAUUUCACAAAUGAUGGGGAACUAAGGAGGUUUGGAGGAACGAUUAUAACAUAAUUCAGGGGAAGGCAACUCUGGUAGCAAUUUGAAGUUUGGAUCCCAGGGGCAAGAUAAAAGGUCAAUGGUGUGAAAUUAUAAGAGCUGUGGAAGGUUAAAGACCAGCAAAGCAGGAACAGUGGUGGGGCAGUUUGUGGUUCUCAGAUUAAUGGACCUGAUUGGUGGGCCAGAUUGAUGGUCAUUGUAUCAGCAUUUGUUUCCCAUGCCUCAAUUUUGAACCAGAUUAGACUAUAUGGUGCUUUAUAAAGAGGUGUAGAAAAUAUAAGCCAUUCAUUUCAAUAGUCUCAUCUUAAAGAAGCUGACUUUAAAUGAGAAAUGUUAAAAUGUACACAAUACAAAAAUGGAGGGAAUUAUUUUAAGGAAGUGGGAGAGCAACUGACAUAUAUGUGCAUUUGUGUGUGUGUGGUUGUGUGGUUGUGUGGGUGUAGCUAAUGUUCUUUACUAGAGACAGGGAUUGUAAAGAUGUCAGUGAGGACAGAAUAGGACUCAGUAGAUAGGACUCUGGAGAACAUCUUGCCUGAAUCACCCACAAAUGAUAUUUAAUGUGCAGUAAAAUCUACUUAUUUUUAUCUUUCUACAAUAUUCUGUACAUUAGAGAUAACCAUAUAGUAAGCAUGUAGUUAAACUGUAUGUUUCUAUAACAUUCAUUUCAAGUAGCAAUGCAGAGUUGGAAUUAUUUGGGUAAUAACAAUCAACCACAAAAGUAAAGCCCGCAAAGUUCUUUUGGUUGUUUUUGCUUUACUUUUUGACAAGCAUCUGUAUAUUAUGGAUGAAAAUAAAUACCUAAAAGAGCUGGCUUGGCACAAGUGAAAUAUUUAAGUCAAAUAUCUGAUAGUUGAUUUGUUUAACUAUAGGUCUUGACCUGUAAAGGUCAGGGAUGUGCUUUCUUACUUACAACUGUCCAUUUUCUAUUCUUCAAACCCCAGUUCAAAGCCCACUCGCUCCAGCAAGCUUCCCCAUUGCCCAAAGGCAAGAUGAACCUGCCUGUCCUCUGGGCUUUCACAUCGAAGCCCUGGGCUUCAACCUCAUCUGGGGACACAUCUACUUUGGCAGAGAGAAGACACAUUACUCUACAAUCAGUUCACUGUUCCAACAAUACCUGGGUGAAUGGACCAUACUCAAUAAUGUCACAUGCAAGAUAGGACCAUCAACAAGAUAGUCAGGUAGUCCAUCCAGCGUCAAGGCUUGGCAAGCCCCUGGUGGGAGCUUGGAAAGUAUGCAGUAUAUAUGAAAAGAUACUGCCACACCUUGGUUUUUUAUGACAAGGAGAAGAUUGUAGAUGUUAUUGAUAAGUGUUAUUUAAAAUGCUCUAAGCUCAUUCAGUGAGACUUGGUGAUAAGGCUCAUAGUACUGAGUGUGCAGGAACAGAACAGCAGAAGGGAGCCCAAGGCCUGCCAGUGACUGAUUUUGUGAUAUUGAGGAAGUCACCUGAACCUCAGUUUUGCCGUCUGUGAAGUGGAGAUGAUGCUGUCUCACUGACAGAGUUGUAAGGGAUCCAGUGGAAUAACCCAUGGAAAUCACAAAGGACGUGCCCAGCGCAUCGUACCUUCCGAAGCAUUUAACAAAUAUUGGUUUAUGGAAACGGGCUUUGAAAAUAGUACAAAGCUGUACACAUCAAACAUUACCAUUAUUAAAUGUGAUGAUUAUUCAGUAUAAAAUGUUAGGAACUUAUAUUUGGGUAAGGUAGCUUGAAUAAAUGGUUACAAUUCGUACAUGUCUGUAAUAAUGUUUUUAUAAGAUUGAUAGUCAAUCCUCUAAACCUUUAGUUUCUUUUUUUCUAUUAGGAAUGUCACAGAUGUU